CCUACGGGAGGCAGCAGUAGGGAAUUUUCGGCAAUGGGGGGAACCCUGACCGAGCAACGCCGCGUGAACGAAGAAGUUAUUCGUAAUGUAAAGUUCUUUUAACAGGGAAGAAAGAGAAAUUUGACGGUACCUGAAGAAUAAGCUCCGGCUAACUACGUGCCAGCAGCCGCGGUAAUACGUAGGGAGCGAGCGUUAUCCGGAAUUAUUGGGCGAAAAGGGUGCGUAGAUGGCAUAGUAAGUCUUUUGUAAAAAUGCUGGGCUCAACCCAGUAGGGCAAAAGAUACUGCAAAGCUAGAGUAUGACAGAGGCAAGUGGAACUACAUGUGUAGCGGUAAAAUGCGUAAAUAUAUGUAAGAACACCAGGGGCGAAGGCGGCUUGCUGGGUCGAUACUGACAUUGAGGCACGAAAGCGUGGGGAGCAAACAGGAUUAGAUACCCCAGUAGUC
rnacentral:rRNA from 1 species